rnacentral:lncRNA from 1 species
GUAGAAUAAUUAUUAAUUUGAAAAAUGCCUAAAAAUAGAAUUUUCUAUAAUACGUCACUUAAAAAAAUAACUAAAAAAUAAAUUGUUAUUAAAAUAUGGGCUUUGUACUCUAAGCAAAUACCUACAUUUAAAGCCAUCUUUAAGGUAGCGUUUACAUUUUAGAUUAGAGUGAGAAUCCUGAAGAGUAGGAAUCUUAAAAUUAAGAGUGUGGAAUGAGAGUGAGAGUAAUUGUUUACUUACACUGAAAUGAGAGUAUGAAAUUGUCUUGGAUUAGGAGUAAAUAAUUUUAAAUUACAGUUUUACCCUUAUUUA